CCUUUGUCGUUUUUGAAUGUAGAAGCGGGGUGUCGUUCCCCUAUCUCAUUUUGAUAAGGUAGAGGGGGAGAGCUCCAGCGGCGGAGGAGGCGGAGGCGAUUGCUUCAGUUCAUGGCGAUUCUGAGCUCAUCCACCGCAGGAUUUUGAUUUCUUCUCCCUCUUCUCUUCGUUCGCCGGCUGCCCUGGUAGUAUCUCAAUGGGUAGAGUGCGGAAAGUCUGUCGCAAGGAUGUUCCCCUAGUUUCUUCAGUCGAGAGUACUGAUUCUUUGAAAGACCCUUAUGUGCCUAAUGAUUUUGCUGAUGAUGGUUCUAAUGCUAUGUCUUUGGGUUGUUCUGGUGAUGAUGAAGAGUUUGAUAAAGCACUUUACAAUUUCUAUGUGAAUAAUAAAGUCAAGUACCUAAGGAGAAAAUUAUCAUCUGCUGGCAGAAGGAAUGUUGAACUUUUCAAUGUCAUCUUCAUCAAGAAAUGAAUCAUCUUCUCCAAGGAAGGCAUUGCUUUCAGGGCCACCUCCCAAGGAUUAGCUUCCGCUGCUACCUCUUGGUUUGCUCGAUCGUCUUCAUGCAUUUCUUGCCAUGUCUGUUGAGUCCUCCUGCUGAGUGUACCUGCAAGCAACAAGAUAGUUUUUGUUUUGUCCUCUUGCUGUUUCAAAUUCAGUCUCUCAAAACAGAGUGACCAAAAGCAGAGUGCAACAGAGGAUUUGAAGAUUUUUCAUGUACCUGUGGAUGAUCUUUUUGUGACCCCCAAGUGCUUGCUUGUGUUCUUCCUCCAGGUGCUUUUGACAGGUCAGGGAAAGGACAAUAGAAGCGACCGGUUCAACCUUUUCUCGCUGUUAGUCGCUUGACGGGUCACAUGAACAGCCCGACCCAUUUUCUUCAGGAAAAACAGACAUACAACUGUCAACAGUUUAUUUUGUAUACGAUGAACUUUUUUAAUUAUACACAAUGAAGAUAUCAUUAAGUACACUAAA